rnacentral:rRNA from 1 species
AUUCCAAUCGAACUCGGAGAUAGCUGGUUCUCCCCGAAAUAGCUUUAGGGCUAGCGUUAUUUUAGAUUACCGGAGGUAAAGCACUGAAUGGUCUAGGGGCCGCGAGGUUACCAAAGCCUAUCAAACUCUGAAUGCCGGAUAAUUGAUGAAUAGCAGUCAGACUGUGUGAGAUAAGUCUCAUAGUCAAAAGGGAAACAGCCCAGAUCUACAGCUAAGGUCCCAAAUGAACACUAAGUGGAAAAUGAUGUGAAACUGCGAAGACAACCAGGAUGUUGGCUUAGAAGCAGCCACUCAUUCAAAGAGUGCGUAAUAGCUCACUGGUCGAGUGGUUUUGCGCAGAAAAUGUAACGGGGCUAAGUGUUCAACCGAAGCUUAGGCAUUGCAGUAAUGCAUUGGGUAGGGGAGCGUCGUAUGCGGGGCGAAGUCAGAGCGGAAGCACUGGUGGACUGCAUACGAGUGAGAAUGCCGGAAUAAGUAGCGAGAAUUAUGUGAGAAUCAUAAUGGCCGAAAAUCUAAGGUUUCUUGGGGAAGGUUCGUCCGCCCAAGGUUAGUCGGGAGCUAAGCUCAGGCCGAAAGGCGUAGGCGAUGCACAUACGGUAGAAAUUCCGUAACCACCGAACAUUUAAGCUAGAGGGACGCUUUCUUUAAGGUUAUCCCGGGCGAUGGUUGCCCCGGGCGUAAGGGACCGAAAUAUAGUAGGGAAGUAAAUGGCGAGAGAGACGAGAAAAGCUCUAGUGUAUACUAAGGUGCCCGUACCGCAAACCGACACAGGUAGAUGGGAUGAGUAUUCUAAGGCCAACGGGAGAAGGGUUGUUAAGGAACUCGGCAAAUUGGCCCCGUAACUUCGGGAUAAGGGGCGCCUGCGAGAGCAGGCCGCAGUGAAAAGGCCCAAGCGACUGUUUAGCAAAAACACAGCUCUCUGCUAAAUCGAAAGAUGACGUAUAGGGGGUGACGCCUGCCCGGUGCUGGAAGGUUAAGGGGAGUGCUUAGCAGCAAUGCGAAGGUGCGAACUUAAGCCCCAGUAAACGGCGGCCGUAACUAUAACGGUCCUAAGGUAGCGAAAUUCCUUGUCAGGUAAGUUCUGACCCGCACGAAUGGCGUAACGAUUUGGGCACUGUCUCAACAGCCCGCCCGGCGAAAUUGUAGUACCGGUGAAGAUGCCGGUUUCCCGCAACUAGACGGAAAGACCCCAUGGAGCUUCACUGUAGCUUGAUAUUGGAUCUCGGUAUUCCAUGUACAGGAUAGGUGGGAGACUUGGAAGUAAGCGCGCCAGCGUUUAUGGAGUCAACCUUGGGAUACCACUCUUGGGAUAUUGGGAUUCUAACCUGCGACCAUGAAUCUGGUCGGGGGACACUGUCAGGUGGGCAGUUUGACUGGGGCGGUCGCCUCCAAAAGAGUAACGGAGGCGCUCAAAGGUUCGCUCAGCAUGGUCGGAAACCAUGCCUUAGAGUGUAAACGCAAAAGCGAGCCUAACUGCGAGGCUGACGGGCCGAGCAGUAACGAAAGUUGGAGUUAGUGAUCCGGCGGUAUGUGAAUGGAAAUGCC